GCCUGGCUAGUUCAGUUGGUUGAGCAUGAAACUCUUAAUCUCAGGGUCGUGGGUUCGAGCUCCAUGUUGGGCA